rnacentral:rRNA from 1 species
AUUGAACGCUGGCGGAAUGCUUUACGCAUGCAAGUCGAACGAUGAACCUUAGCUUGCUAAGGGGAUUAGUGGCGAACGGGUGAGUAAUAUAUCGGAACGUACCUUGUAAUGGGGGAUAACUAGUCGAAAGAUUAGCUAAUACCGCAUACGCCCUGAGGGGGAAAGUAGGGGAUCUUCGGACCUUACGUUAUAAGAGCGGCCGAUAUCUGAUUAGCUAGUUGGUGGGGUAAUGGCCUACCAAGGCGACGAUCAGUAGCUGGUCUGAGAGGACGACCAGCCACACUGGAACUGAGACACGGUCCAGACUCCUACGGGAGGCAGCAGUGGGGAAUGUUGGACAAUGGGCGCAAGCCUGAUCCAGCCAUUCCGCGUGAGUGAAGAAGGCCUUCGGGUUGUAAAGCUCUUUCGCAAGGGAAGAAAACUUACAUUCUAAUAAAGUGUGAGGCUGACGGUACCUUGAUAAGAAGCACCGGCUAACUACGUGCCAGCCGCCGCAGUAA